rnacentral:snRNA from 1 species
GUGCUUGCUUCAGCAGCACAUCUAUUAAAAUUGGAAUGAUACAGAGAAGAUUAGCAUGGCCUCUGUGUAAGAAUGACAGGCAAAUUUGUGAAGUGUUCCAUAUUUUU